GCAGUAGUUGUUCAGUGGUAGAAUUCUCACUUUCCAAGUGGAAGAUCUGGGUUUGACUCCUGGCCAAUGCA
rnacentral:tRNA from 1 species